CCCUCCAGAAUCUGGUUCCAUCCUGUUUUACCUCCCUCAUCUUCUUCUAUUCCCAUAUAACCAUACGUUCCACAAACACCGAACAAUUUUCGGAACACAUCCAAAUCCUGCUCUUUGCUCUUAUGCUUUUGUUCCCUCCUAGAAUGCCACCCCUCCCAUUUUCAGAUGCCCAACACUUGUGUAUUCUUCAAGUCUCACAAAAUGCCACUUCCUCCAUA
rnacentral:lncRNA from 10 species